rnacentral:rRNA from 1 species
CCUACGGGAGGCAGCAGUGGGGAAUUUUGGACAAUGGGCGCAAGCCUGAUCCAGCAAUGCCGCGUGAGUGAAGAAGGCCUUCGGGUUGUAAAGCUCUUUUGUCAGGGAAGAAACGGUGGGAGCUAAUAUCUCCUACUAAUGACGGUACCUGAAGAAUAAGCACCGGCUAACUACGUGCCAGCAGCCGCGGUAAUACGUAGGGUGCAAGCGUUAAUCGGAAUUACUGGGCGUAAAGCGUGCGCAGGCGGUUUUGUAAGUCUGUCGUGAAAGCCCCGGGCUCAACCUGGGAAUUGCGAUGGAGACUGCAAGGCUUGAAUCUGGCAGAGGGGGGUAGAAUUCCACGUGUAGCAGUGAAAUGCGUAGAGAUGUGGAGGAACACCGAUGGCGAAGGCAGCCCCCUGGGUCAAGAUUGACGCUCAUGCACGAAAGCGUGGGGAGCAAACAGGAUUAGAUACCCUGGUAGUCCACGCCCUAAACGAUGUCUACUAGUUGUCGGGUUUUAAUUAACUUGGUAACGCAGCUAACGCGUGAAGUAGACCGCCUGGGGAGUACGGUCGCAAGAUUAAAACNCAAAGGAAUUGACGGNUGAGAGNGCGAGACGACGACGAGGGAGGAGG